rnacentral:misc_RNA from 1 species
GAUGAAGAACGCAGCAAAAUGCGAUAAGUAAUGUGAAUUGCAGAAUUCAGUGAAUCAUCGAAUCUUUGAACGCACAUUGCGCCCGCCAGUAUUCUGGCGGGCAUGCCUGUUCGAGCGUCAUUUCAACCCCCAAGCACAGCUUGGUGUUGGGACUCGCGUUAAUUCGCGUUCCCCAAAUUGAUUGGCGGUCACGUCGAGCUUCCAUAGCGUAGUAGUAAAACCCUCGUUACUGGUAAUCGUCGCGGCCACGCCGUUAAACCCCAACUUCUGAAUGUUGACCUCGGAUCAGGUAGGAAUACCCGCUGAACUUAAGCAUAUCAAUAAGCGGAGGA